GUGCUAUUUUGGCAGCACAUACGCUAAAAUGGGAACUAUUCAGAGAACAUUGGCGUGGCCCUUGAGCAAGGAUAACGCGCAAAUUCAUGAAGCGUUUUUUUUUUUU